UUUUUUUUUCUUCUAACCUUUAUUUAACUAGGCAGGUCAGUUAAGAACAAAUUCUUAUUUUCAAUAACAGGGUUAACUGCCUUGUUCAGGAGAAGAACAACAGAUUAGUAGCUUGUCAGUUCGGGGAUUUGAACUUGCAACUUUUCAAUUACUAGUCCAACGCUCUAACCACUAGUCUACCUGCCACCUAUACAUAUCUACCUCCAUCACUCCAGUAUCUCUGUCCCCUUACAUAUCCACCUCCAUCACUCCAGUAUCUCUGUCCUCUUACCCCUAUACAUAUCUACCUCCAUCACUCCAGUAUCUCUGCCCCCUUACCCCUAUACAUAUCAACCUCCAUCACUCCAGUAUCUCUGUCCUCUUACCCCUUUACUGUACAUAUCUACCUCCAUCACUCCAGUAUCUCUGUCCCCUUACCCCUUUACUGUACAUAUCUACCUCCAUCACUCCAGUAUCAAUGUCCCCUUACCCCUGUACAUAUCUACCUCCAUCACUCCAGUAUCUCUGUCCCUUUACCCCUUUACUGUACAUAUCUACCUACAUCACUCCAGAAUCUCUGUCCCCUUACCCCCAUACAUAUCUACCUACAUCACUCCAGAAUCUCUGUCCCCUUACCCCUAUACAUAUCUACCUCCAUCACUCCAGGAUCUCUGUCCCCUUACCCCUAUACAUAUCUACCUCCAUCACUCCAGGAUCUGUCCCCUUACCCCUUUACUGUACAUAUCUACCUCCAUCACUCCAGUAUCUCUGUCCCUUACCCCUAUACAUAUCUACCUCCAUCACUCCAGGCUUUAGUAAAGGUUGAAUAGUCUAUUGUUCAGCUAUUAGCCACCCUCCCCAACUUGCAACAAAUUGUUGUUGUUCCUAUCUCAUUCCUUUCCCUUUUCCACACGUCAUCAUUCUGCUCCUGAGUGGCUCGCUUGUGGGAAUGCUGGCUGGAUAUGGCAAUGUCUUCGGUUAUGUGUCAAGAAUUCUGCAUACAGUAGCACAUUUGUAUGAAGGAAGUUAUGGAGGACACCUACGAAGAAGGACUGUUUGAUGAUGGAAUCUCAGGUAAGCAGCACUCGGCGUUCUUGUCACGCCCUGACCUGAGAGAGUUGUUUUUCUCUGUUUGGUUAGGUCAGGGUGUGACAUGGGGUGGGC
rnacentral:lncRNA from 1 species